GGUUUUGUUGAUGCUGGGACUUGCUGCUGGGAAAAAAAAAAAAAUACAACACUCCUGCUGCCUUUCUUAGGGCAUCAGGCACUGAAUCUUUCCCCUCAUUUGAUUCACUGACCUCUCAAGUGCAUCAUCACCCCGAGGGCUCCGGGCGUCCGGCAACUGUUAAGCCCCUUGGGUUGAUAAUCUCCUCCCGCGUUUGCCCUUAACACCAGGCAUACCACCAUUAGCCGCAGCUGCACCGGUGCUCAUUAGAGGCGAUCGAUGUCGACCAGAUAAAGCACUCUGCCGCUCCCCACCUCCCCUCACUGCAGACCUAUAGGCCUGCCCACGCAAGCCUCCCUGUCAGCUACCCAAAAGAGGGGGCUCUGUUUUGAAAAAAAAAAGAGGGGGAGAGGAGGAUGAAAAAGGAGGAGGGGAAAGUCCAUAUUUACUUUCUUGGUCUCAGGAUGCUGUUGACUGUCUAGAAGAAAUGUUAUUUUUACUGUGAUGUGAAAAUCGCCCAUCUUUGCCUCCCGAGACUCCUGGCCUCCAGGCAAGGCCCAGAGAAAAAUGGUUCCUGAGGAAAGAAGGAUGGGCUAAGAUGGGCGGGAUGUGGUAUUGAUGCUAGACCCAGUUGCUAUUGGGUUUCUGCAGACCACGGAGGUCUGGGGCUAUGGCUGGCAGUGGUGGCUGGAGUCCUGCUUCUUGCCAGAAGGUGUUGCCAGAGAGCCUGGGAACUCGGGCUGGGAGUCGGGCCCCAGGGGGAGCUGGAGGCAGGAGCGAUAUCAGGGUGCCCCCCACCCCACCCUGAGUCUGCUCAGCCUCCCAGACUUCUGCAGCUUGGCAUCCUGUCCCAGCAGCUGCGUCAGGAUGCCCACUGGAUGAUUCUUCGCCGUGGUGGGCUGGGAGGGACCUGGCCCCUCACUGGGAAGGACCGGAGAGAUGGGAACGUGGAGGACACCCCAGGAGGAACCAGAGACGACAGGAGCAUCCGGGGGCCAGAACAUUCAAGAGGUUUCACCUAUGUUUUUCCACACGUGAGGCCGUUUGGAAUGAAUACCUGACCUAAAUCAUAUCUUUUCCUGAUGGAGGCAGUGCUCCCUUGAGAAUUACUGGAGACAGUCCCAACCAAACCGGACUGCUGAUCCCUACCAUGGAGAAGUUAGGCGGGGACAGAAGAGUCUUGGUGUCAGGAGAGCACCAAGACCCUACCAGUGGCCAUGCCAGGCAGAGGAUGGGGACUCUACUCCUGGGAGUGUGGGCCCCCCAAGCAAGCUCGGGUAGGCACUCUUCAGACAGAGGCGAGUCCCUAUGGGGGAUGACACCCCACUGGUUCCCCAGCAGUCCCACUGCGGGGUAGGUCACUCUUAACUUUCCCCGUGUCCUUUAUUCUGUGCCUGGAAUGUUUGUUUAGUGACAGAAGCCAUAACACCAAAAAACAUGGGUAAAAAAAGAAACCUUCGUCUGUAAAGAUAAGCAGAGAGAGAAUAGUGACUCAUGACAAAAAAAAAAAAAAAAAAAAACAAAAGCAAAAGCAAAAAACCCAGAAGUCCUGAGCAAAUACCCUUGCAUGAAAUAAAGUAACAGCAAGGCAUAGGAAAUUCCAGAAAUUUGCAAGUUUCUGUUUUUAAGCAAGAUGGCAGUGACAUUGCAGCUAUGAAACUGGAGCGGGCAGUUUGGAAGGUGGCAAAACAAGACCCUCAAAGGCGAUAUACGAAUAAACAAUUGCUGAAGUCUAAAGGGCAGUUUCCUAAUUGUGGAAAAUUGAUUCAGUGAGUUGGAGGUGAACUUGAGAAUUUAAGGAAGCACAGAGAGUAGGUAUAAAUAAAUUCAUAAAGGAGAAAGUAGGAGACCUGGAAAGGCAAGAACCAGGAGCUGUACAAUGGGAAUUCCUGAGAGAGCAGAGUGAGCAGAGAAGCCAAAAUAAUCACCGGGGAAUCCAAAGAGCUCAUUGAGCACCAGGCACAAUUAAACGAACCUGAAUUUCCAGGUAAAGGAAAGUGUACAUCCAAGCUGAAAAACAAUUUACCUCCAAAGAAACAAGAGCUGCACUGCAAUUAGCCUCUUUUGCCUACAAAACAUCCAAAUCAAUUUCACUUUUAUUGGAAAACACAGCUCUUAUGCAGCCCUGCUUAAGAUUUCCAAUGGUUUUGUUUACUUUGUUAGUGGUUUACCUGAACAAUUUACCUGAGAAAAAUUCAGUUCCAAUACUCCUCUAUCUCUGACCAUAAUUUGUUCCUUGGGAUAAGUGGGAUAAGUUGGUAGACUCGUCUGCAAUAAUUAAAAAAAAAAUAAUGCAUCACUGUUGAAUGAGUUUUUAUGGAAAAAUAUUUUGACCUGAUUUU